rnacentral:rRNA from 1 species
CCUACGGGAGGCAGCAGUGGGGAAUAUUGGGCAAUGGGCGCAAGCCUGACCCAGCAACGCCGCGUGAAGGAAGAAGGCUCUCGGGUUGUUAACCUCCUUUGAUAGGGAAGAGUAGAAGACGGUACCUGCCGAAUAAGCCACGGCUAACUACGUCCCAGCAGCCGCGGUAAUACGUAGGUGGCAAGCGUUGUCCGGAUUGACUGGGUGUAAAGGGCGUGUAGCCGGGUUGAUAAGUCAGAUGUGAAAUCCUGCGGCUUAACCGCAGAACUGCAUUUGAAACUGUUGAUCUUGAGUACUGGAGAGGCAGACGGAAUUCCUGGUGUAGCGGUGAAAUGCGUAGAUAUUGGGAGGAACACCAGUGGCGAAGGCGGUUUGCUGGACAGCAACUGACGGUGAGGCGCGAAAGCGUGGGGAGCAAACAGGAUUAGAUACCCGAGUAGUC